GGGAAAGUGACCAGGGAAGUGGACAGCGUGAAGCAGAAGCCUGCAAGACAGCACUGAGGACAGUACACGUUCCAGGGAGAGGAGCAGAGUUGGGUUUGGCACCCAGUCUGAGAGAGGAGCAAGGUGGACGGCAAUCACAGGGUGUGUCUCAGUAGCACCCUUGUCCCUCAGCCUCAGAGGAAGCAGGAGAGCACGCACGCACCAGGAUGGGUCUGCUGCAGCAGAGGU